AGAAGCUUGGCAGGGAACAGAUGUCUAUGUGCUGCUCUCAAAAAUAGGGCCAUACCUAAUCUUCUUUGCCGACAUCGCAAGAACCGCUCCAGAUAUGGAGUUUGAGAGUGAGGUAAGACCUCACCUUGCUCAUAGUAAAGGACUAACUACUUUCACGUUGUUAUAUAUGUUGUUGGAGCAUAUAUUUUUGACAUCACUACUCUGGUAUCACUUAUAGUACAGUUUAAUUUAUCAGGAUCAUUAGCAUUUUAGUACUCUGUUUUUCCAUUGUAAGUGUUACAUUUGACCUACCCAUGUAAUUAAACAGCAUUUUAUUCAUCUAACUGAUUAUCUUUCUUGUCUUUAUUUCUUUCAGGUCAUGAAUGCCUACAUGCAGCUACUGGUGCGAGACUUUAAUGCGAAGUCAACCGACAGGGCUAUGGCAAUAGACACAUUCGAGAUGUCCAACAUAUGGAAAAGGAAACAACCAAAAGUGAAGCUGGAUCCACACAUGUACAAGUACAUCCUUGGGAUCAUCAAUGAGAACCACCACUGGAAACUCACUGUCAUGAUCCCAUCACAAAAAAAGGCUCUCUUACUCGAUCCUCUUGGGGAAUCCAGUACCGACAUAAAUAGGUGCAAAGAUGUAACAAGAGCCUUCAUGAGACUUAGGGGGAUCAAUGUGUCCAGAUGGGGAUGCGACACAGUCCCACACCCUCGUCAGACUGACAGUACCUCCUGCGGGCCCUUUGUAUUGAAAUUUGCUGAAUGUAUCCUUAAAGGUGAAAACUGCAAAUUCAAUACAUCAAGAAGGUGUAGGGGAAAUGCGAAGGGCAAUCGCAACUGCUCUCCUUGAGAAUACUGAUGACCUGACUGAGGUGUGCCACCAAUGUGGACAGACAGACAAUCCAGAAACAGACGAGGACGUACAAUGGGUAAGACAUGUCAUAAUUUAUUAUAUAUAUACCUUUAUUUUCAAUCAGAUGAACAGUAUUGUCAGUGUUAAUAGCACAGGAGUUGGUGCCACUUAUCAAAUUACCAAAACUACUUACCAAGUAUGAACAUUUCAACUGAUAUUGUCAAUAUCAAAUUGUUUCGAUUUCCUGUGAACGGUGCCAACGCUGGUAUCAUCAGAGCUGUGCAAAACAUAUGAUGGAAUCGCCACACCUCUGUCUAGCCUGUAACACAGACAGGACAGCCAGGAGAGAGAGGGCACUGGCACGCUAGGUGGGAGUGGUGGGCGUGACAUACUGUACAUCGGUGUACCAGGUAGCUUUUGUUGAUUUUCUAUAUAUUGUACUUAUUUUGUAUUUAUUGUAGUUGGUUUGGCUUUUUGUUUUUUCUUUUUACAUAUGUUGUUCUAAGAAAUUGUUUAUAUUUGUUUUAAUUGUGUUAAUAAAUGUUUUGUUCUGAAUGUUUGAAUUGUGUUAAUAAAUGUUUUGUUCUCAAUGUCAGUGUAAAGUCUACUUCCAGCUAACACCCUUGAUCACGCCACCAAUCCCUUGAAUGCAACUCACUCCUCAGAUCACAUCACAGCAAUUCUAGUCACCCAUGCACGCACAUCACUCCCUCUAUUUAGUUCAGUUCAGUUCACCCUUUCCUUUGUGAGGUAUUGUUUGUUUUCACCACAACCGUACUGUGCCUUUUCAAAAUAUUACCUAUAUAUAAUGAAUUACCCGUGCAUCAACCUGUU